GUCUCUAUGGCGCAAUCGGUUUGCGCGUUCGGCUGCUAAACGAAAGGUUGGUGGUUCGAACACACUCAGAGACG